AAGUCGUAACAAGGUUUCCGUAGGUGAACCUGCGGAAGGAUCAUUACCGAGCGAGGCGCUCCGACGCCCGACCUCCCAACCUCUGUCCGAACCCACACCUCUGUUGCCUCGGGACCGCGCCUCGCGCGGGCCCGCGACCACAACCAACUCCUGCAUCUCUGCGUCGGAGUGACAGCGAAAUCAAUCAAAACUUUCAACAACGGAUCUCUUGGUUCUGGCAUCGAUGAAGAACGCAGCGAAAUGCGAUAAGUAAUGUGAAUUGCAGAAUUCAGUGAAUCAUCGAAUCUUUGAACGCACAUUGCGCCCCUGGCAUUCCGGGGGCAUGCCGUUCGAGCGUCAUUACACCACUCAAGCCUGGCUUGGUAUUGGCGUCGGAUGCACCGCGCCUCUAUGUUUGUUCGGCUGGACGGUUGGAAUCUCAGCGUUGUGCAAUCAAUCCGCUGUGGACCUGACUGGACGCGCCGUGAAAAUCUCAUCACAGGUUGACCUCGGAUCGGGUAGGGAUACCCGCUGAACUUAA
rnacentral:rRNA from 1 species